AGGAGACCAAUCUCUUUAGAGGAAAUGGAGUCCCUUGUUGUCAUGGCAACCAACUAAGAAAGGGCUCAGUAUGUCUGUCAGCAGCAAGAGAGAAUCGCCCUGGACACUGAGGUACCACGUCCCCGCACGAAUCUCUGGUCGGCCGGUGCGUCACUCAGGAUCCACAACGAUGACGGUUCAAACAAGAUCAAAGUCUCUUUCUCAGGAAAAUGUCAGAGAGGCCCAGUCUCUUUUGUAGUGAUCCAGGGAAGCCUCAAGAAACAUCCUGUUCCUCUACAGUGACCUCGCUCCAGUCUUCAGGCCUGCAUCUGGUAUUCAUGGAGAUCUUAAGAAGGUGGAGGGGAGCAGGCCACUUUCCAAAUACAACUCAACCCCCUGUGCCUCCGUCACGGUCCCCAGGGAGCAGAACCUUCAUGAGUGAUCCAGAAGGAAGGAACUGAGAGCAAGGACUCAAUGUGUU
rnacentral:lncRNA from 1 species